rnacentral:tRNA from 1 species
UCCCUAGUAGCUCAGUCAGUAAAGAAUCUGCCUGCAAUGCAGGUGACCCAGGUUUGAUUCCUGGAUCUGGAA